GGAGUUAGCUCAGUGGUAGAGCGCUUGCCUAGGAAGCGCAAGGCCCUGGGUUCGGUCCCCAGCUCCA
rfam:Rattus norvegicus chromosome 17, whole genome shotgun sequence.